UGUUUUUCUUGUCGCAAACUAUAGAAUUUUUCAAACAAAAAUUGAACAUUCACCAAAUUCAGAUUACUAUUGAUAUAUCACUAGUUUAGGUUUUCAUAAUCACUUGUGCGAUUGUAUUAUAGUUCAUUGACUUAGAAAUUUGUUCAUCAUCGAGAAACGAAUCGAAAACUUCAAAAGGUUGGGCUCGUGCCUUGAUCUAUUUUUUUUUUUUUAAUUGCAGUUUUUCUUUAAAUAUGUGGAAGUUUUGCUAGAUUCGACAAUCUUAGUAAAAUCAAAAUGGUUGAUUCAUUUCUUUGAUAUUGUUAGUCUACUUGACUACUUGAUAUCUAUGGUUUAGAUUUUAUUCGGCAAUGAAAAACAGUUGUGAUGUUAAUUUGUUUUUUGCAGAUGCAGUAUAGUUGUCAUAGUCAAAUUCAGUUGUACAUUGAACAAAAAUCAGUGUACAAUGCGUGUUUUUAUGAUGGCAAACUAUACAAUUUUUCAAACAUAAUUUGGACAUUCACAAAAUUCAGAUUUUGGAAAGAAUUUCUAAAACCACAGUGUAAAUCCCAUCAUAAAUUUCAAUUUUGUUUUUUUGAUGAAAAUUAAGAACAGUUGGAAAUCGAAUAUAAAAUUAUUGUUGUAUGUCACAAUUAAACUUUAGAAAUUCUCAAGGUUUGGAUUUCAAAUAAGUUUACACUUACACCUAUGAAUGAAACAUGUGUCAUUGCAUAUUUUCUUGGUUGCAAAGUGACCUUGAAAAUCUAUUUGUUGUUUUAUUGUUACUUCAAUGUCCCAAAUUUGUAUAGUUUUUAUAUUUUCAUAGUUAGUUUGAAAAAUCAACCUUCAUAAAACUUAAUAGUUGUAUAAUUUAUAUAUCUAAAUAGAACUGACUAAUAUAUUCUCUCAGGAUAAAGAUUUGGAGAGGUUGAAGCAUGCUCGAUAGCGUUCUCCGUUACUAUUCUAGAAUAAGUCUUUCUUCCCAAAGAUGUAGAUAUGCUCCAAAACUGGUUACCACCCCAUACAUCUCCAUUGUAAUCCUCAUCAAAUUUAGGUUUCUUCACACCAAAAUCUAAAUUUUGAUUUUAUAUUUUCAUAAUUAGUUUGAAAAAUCAACCUUCAUAAAACUUAAUAGUUAUAUAAUUUAUAUAUCUAAUUAGAAUUGACUGAUAUAUUCUUUCGGGAUAAAGAUUUGGAGAGGCUGGAGCAUGCUUGAUAGCGUUCUCCAUUACUAUCCUAGAAAGUCUUUCCUCCCAAAGAUGUAGAUAUAAUCCAAAACCGGUUGCCACCUCAUACAUCUCCAUUGUAAUCCUCAUCAAAUUUAGGUUUCUUCACACCAAAAUCUAAAUUUUGAUUGUUCUGAGGAUCACCCCCUUAUAUGUAUGCUUCAUCCUCAACUUCUAAGACCUCGAUAGCGAGAAUUGUUGGAUCUCCUUGACAAGUAUGGAAGCAAAUGGUUGAUGUCCCAUUGAGGAGAAAGAUAAGAGCUUCAACAAACACUUGGUCAUCCUUCUUAGUCCAGCCCAUAAUCAAAGUUGAAACCAAAGUCCCUUCAAUAGAUAUGUCGAAAAUGGUUUUUUUUUCUUUCUCAAAACAUGUCUAGUUAACCAGCCCAAAGAAGAUCCUGACAGAAUAGUGGCCCACUAGCACUCUGACCAGGUUAUAAUAGUUGGUUGGUCCAGCAGAUUCUGGGAAAUAGUGCAUCGUUUUCAAGGAUGGAGUGAUGUUACUUAAUGUUGUUGCAUUGGUAGCUAAUCCUCCUGUAAAAGUUGUAUCCUGUUGGGGUCGGAUUUCACCCAUAUCUUGAGACCGAGCCAAACAUCGAUAGGAGAAACAACUCGGCAUAUGUUCUCUCUACUCCGUUGCUUCGGAGACUUCCUAAUCGCCUUAGGAGAUAUUCAUCACCACGAGAUGCAGCUCGGCCACCUCGGGUACAAGUUAUACUAUCAUUACACCCGAGCCGGUUUCACCUCGGGUACAAGCCCGAGGCAACUUCACCCGUGUUCCUAAGCCAACUUCACCCGUGUUCCCGAGCCAACUUUGCCCGUGUCCCCGAGCCCAAAUCGCCUAGGGGUACACCUCAAAUCGCCUAGGGGCACACCUCACAUCGCCUCGGGGUACAUGCCAAAUCGCCUAGGGGUACACCUCACAUCGCCUAGGGGUACAGUUCACAUCGCCUCGGAUACAGGCCACUCAGGCGCCCUCUCCUGAACCAAUCACACCAGUCACCCGAGGUGAAGUCCUCAGUCACCCCGAGGCGAAGUCUUCAGAGUGACCCGAGGCGAAGUCUGCAGAGUCACCUGAGGCAAAGUCUUCAGAGUGACCCGAGGCGAAGUCUGCAGAGUCACCCGAGGUGAAAUCUUCAGAGUCACCCGAGGCAAAGACUUGGUUAAACAUUCACUUCCAUAGUAUCACUUCCGAAUAGAACGGCAUCAUUUCCGAAAAAGAAGGAUCAUUUCCGAGAUACUCGGAAAUGAUAAGGAAUAAUCUUGAAGGAUCUUUGCAAAUCAGGAAAUCUUCCAAAAGCCUCCGAAGAAUAAGGAAAGUAUCCUUAUCCGCAAUAUUCUAAGACGACUCCGAGGAAAAUGGAAAUCUUCCGAGAAUAUCGGUGGAGAGGCGGUUUACUAUCCCUAUAUAAAGCGACUCAAGGUCUUCACAAAAAGGGGACAAGCAAUAUCGCUCUAGAAUUUACACUACGCAAAGCUCUCAUAGCACAAACAUCUUUUCUUUUACGAUCAAACUCUUGUACGAUCAAAACUACUCUUUUCAUCAAUAAGAUCAAGAACACCAUCUUUGGUUACAAUUGUUUCUGUUGUUCUUUGAGAAUUCACAUUUAUCGUAUCCCUAAAUUAAAACCCUAGACAAAUCUCGAUUGUGUUAGUUUCGACUUCCACAUAUCCUUGUGCCACAGUCUGUAACUUGGUGGCGAUUUGACACUUUGAAGAGCACCACAAAUGAUCCGGAUUGAAUGUAGCUCUAAAAAGCAAGGAAAAUCAAACUGAUCCAACAAGAGAAUCUCGAGGAGAAUCAAAUCAAUAUUCAAAGCCUUUGUUGGUCUGAUUAUGGAAUAUAAGAGCAUUCAUAUACUAAAGCCAUCAAAACUAUCCCAAGUAAAUUUAACUCAGCUCUAAACUAAUCAGCAAAAUAAGAACUUGCAAAUUAUCAGUUAUUCAAAGACAUUUCUUUGUUGGUCUGAUUCUGGAAUAUAAGAGAACUCAGAUACUAAACCCACCAAAACUAUCCCAAGUAUCAUCAAAAUAAAGUGAUUGUUUGAGAAACUUUACAAGAUUCUGAAAAACUAAUCAACAAGAUUAUAGAAAACUCUCUAACAAUUCUAGAAUCGUUCACUUGUUUACUUUCUAUGGUUUUAUUAAAGUCAUCAAGAUUCUUUGUAAAUUAGGAACCAAUAACACCCCCUUAACUUAGCUCUACUACUCAGCAAAAAUAGGAACUUUGCAAAUUUUCAGUUAUUCAAAGACAUUCCUUUGUUAUCCUGAUUCUGGAAUAUAAGAGAACCCAAAUACUAAACACACCAAAACUAUCAAAGUAAACUUAACUAAGCUUUAAACUAAUCAACAAAAAUAGGAACUUUGAAAAGAAAUGCUAACCUGGUUGAGCCAAGGAAGAUGAGAGAACAAACGCCGAAAUGAGAACACAUGCGAGAGCAAAACGAAGCAUCGUCGUCAUCCUUGAAUCUUCGACGAUGCAAGUUUAGGCGGACCUAAUCUAUAUACAUAUAAACUUGGGUAUUGAGCAAAAAAACAACCUCCAAAUAUCAAUUUUUUUUUUUUUUUUGCAAUUUUACUCUUAAUUUAUAAAAAUAUGUAAAUCAACCCCACAAAAUCUAAUUUAACCCGCAAUAUAAGUCUUGGUCACUAGUUUCAAUUUGUCAAAUCGAAACCUUGCGAUGAGAAGUCUAAAUCUUUUUUUUUUUGUCAUCCGAAAUUAAUUAACACUAAAAAAAGCCAUUCAUCGGGAAUGUUGUUUACAUAUCUAAAAAUACUUUAAUGAAUGUGGCCGUACAAACUCUCUAAAAAUACACAUAAGGUUUAUAUUAUGCAUUAAAUUAUUGCAAUGGAACAGAGGUGAAAAUCGGGGAAAAGGGCCUAUUUCCACCCCUACUAUUUGGACGGUUCCGUUUCCUACCUACACAACGAGUUGGUGCUUAUUUCAAUAGUUUUCGUAACAAAUUUCAAAUUAACUACCCAUACUCUGUGUUUAUAGUUGAAUUCAACAUUGACUCAAACGGACAUUAGUCAACCGUUAAAAUAGUAGAGUCGGAUGACACGGUGGCAAUUCAAAAGAGGGAAAAGAUCCUAUUUCCACCCUUACUAAUUGAACGGUUCCUUUUCCUACCCACACAACGAAUUGGUGUCCAUUUCAACAGUUUUUGGAACAAAAUUCAAAUUAACCAUUUGAAAUUUGUGAUGACAAGAUUAUUUUAAGAGGAUUUAGCAUUAACUACAAAAUAGUAGUUGGCUUUAUAUCCAUGAUUUAGAUAUAAAAUAAAUACAUGUAAUUCUGUGUCACUAUAUAUUAAAUCUGAAUAUAGAGUAGAUCUUUGCGAAUUAUAUAUAAGACAUUUUUUUUUAUAAAGGAUUAAGAGAUGAAUAUCUAAAGACUUGAUGGUGUUGAUAUUUUUAUUGGUGUUUCAUUCUAGUAGAAUGUGUUUAAUGUUUAGUGCUGCUAGAUUUAUCUUUUAUCACCGAAAUCUAAAUAAAAUCCUGAAUAUAAAGUUGUCAGAAUUACACAAAACGAUGUUGGAAAAUAUGUGUUAUUGAUAUAAGACGGCUACAUACAUAUAUAUACUAGUUAGGGAACACUAACCCUAAUUACAUAAAUAUUAAACCUAAUAAAGCCUAUAAUCAAAGGCCUGAUCUGAUUCUAAUCAUAGGCCUGAUAUCAAGGGUUUGAUCCGGCCCUAUUACACCUCCCCCCUCUCAAGUUGGAAGUGUGUAGAUUAAGAACACCCAACUUGCUGAGAAAAUCUUUGAACUCUUUCUGUCCCAAAGCUUUGGUGAAGAUAUCAGCCAGCUGUGCAUGAGUCGAAACAUGUUGCGUUGAAAUAGUACCCUUAACAAUCUCAUCCCGCACAAUAUGACAAUCAACCUCAACAUGUUUAGUCCUCUCAUGGAAUACAUGAUUAGCACUAAUAUGGAUCGCAGCUUGACUAUCACAAAACACGCUCAUUGGACGUGUCAUCACAACUCCAAGAUCCGUCAACAAACCUUUGAUCCACAAGAGCUCAGCAGUGAGCAUUCCCAUAGCUCGAUAUUCUGCUUAAUUUGAAAUUUGUUCCGAAAACUGUUGAAAUGGGCACCAAUUCGUUGUGUGGGUAGGAAAAGGAACCGUUCAAAUAGUAAGAGUGGAAAUAGGACCUUUUUCCCUCUUUUGAAUUGCCACCGUGUCAUCCGACUCUACUAUUUUAACGGUUGACUAACGUCCGUUUGAGUCAAUGUUGAAUUCAACUAUAAACACAGAGUAUGGGUAGUUAAUUUGAAAUUUGUUACCAAAACUGUUGAAAUAAGCACUAACUCGUUGUGUAGGUAGGAAACGGAACCGUCCAAAUAGUAGGGAUGGAAAUAGGCCAUUUUCCCAUGAAAAUCGAUGUUGAUUAGUUUUAGUAUCUUUGGGCUCCAGCUACGUUCAUUAGGGAGAAUCAGAAUGAAACCUUACAAAUGGAGAUUGUUACUGAACCAAAUAAUUUCAACAAAAGGACUUCUCUACAAACAUACAAUUCUCUAGGAGGCGGAUAGAAGACAUAAGCCUUUCUAGAAUUCGACCGUCACCACCAAAUUUUAGUCUUAGUUUCAUUCAUAAAGUUUUUAACAUCUUUGAAAAAUAUUUCCGAUAUACGUAAUAAUUUAAAUAUUUGAAUACAUUAUCACAAUAAUUUAAUACGUAAACACAAUCAAAUAAUUUUUGUAAUUUAAUACAUAAAUAUAAAAGUUUGUGGAAAAUAAAUUUCGUCUACGACAUCACAGGGAUUCAUAACCUAGUAUAUAUAACUACGAGAUAUGAAAUGCGGUAUCUCUUACUAAUAAAAGGAUAGUUUGAGGCUUCUCAGCCUAGCUACAUCAGCUUUCUCAACUACUACCUUAUCAAUUGCCACGUCAUCAGAAUCACUCAGCUUAUCCACGUCACCAUGCAUAGUCUAUUGCGAGACUUUAAUAACCAAUAAUGAAAGGCAUCAAAAAAAUAAAACUCAAUUAGCCUAAACUGGCGUUAUAACUCAUCACCCACGAUAGAAUUCACGAUCUCUUCAGUUUUCUCUACUCAACAUACGUACAAUUGGUUUGUGAUUCGAGACGGGAUAGCGUGGUAUGAUUUUUCUAAACAUCUCCAACCUCUUUGGGGCAGACGAUAGGUAGGAUUUAGCUAUUCUUCUUCUCUUUUGCUUAUUAUUCAAUUUUAUUGGGGUUUCACAUCAGUCUACAUGUUAAAUACAUGUUGUUUUUUCAUGUAGAGGCAUCAAUCGAUGGUAUGGUGUGGUGAUGAUGUACCAUCGACUGCCAAUUAGGGUUACCUCAUCUUUUUCAGUUGAUAACUUCCUGAAAGUUCAAUUUGUGCCCCUUCACAUUCUUCCUAUGAUUCUCUUAUCUGGAGUACCUAUAGGCUAUAGGUUUGUAUUAUUUUUAGUUUCCGCUUCAUUUUUGAUGCAAGGACAAAGAAACAUCAUUUGGGUUUUUGUGGGUAGAUUUCCGUGUGCUAUUACACCAUUUGAUCAUUCACGAUCACUUCCAUUACGAGCAUUUGUUAAUCUAUUUUACAAUUAAUAUUAGAGUCACAAUUUUAGAAAGCGUGUGCGUGUGUUUAUGUUUCGUAAGUUUUGGUUCAGUGCUUUUCUAGCACAUGUAUCUCUCUCUUCUAUUUGGAUAUAAAUUUCACUUCGUAAAGGUUUCCAGAAAAUCAUAAAAUGUAUGAGUUAAAUUGUCAUAUGCAACUUCAAAAAGUGUCUCACCUUCAUACUGUUUUUAUUUUGAUUGGGUUGUAAGCAGUUCUUAGGGACUUCAUACAAAGGUUUGCAUGUUACUCUUAUUUAUUGGCAAUAUCUUUUCUUUUUCCCAAGGAACAUGAUGAAAACCAGAGGAAGUUUAAGCUUUUGGAGCUAAUUAAUGAAGGCUAACAAAAAACACUUCUGAGAGCAGAGGAAGCUUAGGGGGUUUAUUUGGAACACUGAUAUGUAAGGAGCCGUAGGGAGAAAAACUCCUUACAUGGAGUUUGCUUCUUAAUACAAUGAGUUAGAUCAAUAACUAUAACUAUAACUAUACAAUGAGUUAGAUUAAUUGAGGAUAUUUCUAACAUACACUAUAACUAUAAGAUCUCGACUUCUAAGUUCUGAAGUUUUAUAAUUUGUUUUGGGAAACAAGUUUUAUAAGUUCUGAUUUUUUUCUUAGCUACCUAAUACGUAGUUAGUCAUCAUAUGUUUUACAAGUUCAAAAGCAUCCUAACCAUUCAAAUUUCACACUUUGUGGAGUUAGAAGCUUCAACGGUGAUACUAAGGAGGGGUUAUUGGUUCAUAGAUUUAUAUGGAAUUAGAAAUCCAAACAAAAAUCAUUUGUUAUUCAAUCAUUGAUUUUAAAAUCCUAAUUAAAUUCAUGUGUUAUUGGUUCUAUGAUUUAUAAAUACUAUUUAAAAUCUUAUGUUAUUCGUUUAGUCAUUUGUUUUUGGAUUUGAGAAUCCAAAUUAUGUUUUAAAUGGAAUUGAAUGGAAUUGAAAGAGAAAAAUAGAAGGAUUCAAAUCCAUGGGUAAACACAUGUUAUUUCAAAAUCCAUAUAUCUUGAUUUCAUAAUUAAUAGAAAUUUUCAAAUUUUAUAUGGAUUUACAAAUUAACAAACUAAUAACACCCCCUAAACUUUUAGAUACAAAUAUAACAAUUGUCAAAUAAUACUUAAAAUUUUACAAUUGUCAAAUAUACGCCCGGACUAACCCCUAGUUCUAUAUAAAAGUGUUAUGUACAUUUAAUAUUGUAAAGUAAGUAUAACAAAAAUAAUUUGGAUAAAUCGACGAACAACAAAGUUGAAAAAAUAAUUUAGAAGCACUUUUUUUUUGGGAUCAAACAUGGUUUAGCUUUGGUCAAUUUUCAAUUCUAGCCUACCUUAAUCGGAAAUACCAAAUACGUAUAUGGUUCGGAAUAUGAAUAGCAAACACAUUCCAAUGUCUGGAUUUAACCGUGAUCCUCUCUCCUCAAUAUCUAUACUAGUAUUUUUGCAACACUUUCAGUAUUUGUAAGCUCUGAAACAAACUUUUCAUCUUCCAUCUCAAGCAUAUCAAACCCUUUCUUGAGAGUAACAGCAGCUUGCAGCAUCAUAAAGGUCGAAUUCCAUCUUGUUUCAACAUCUAAACAGAGACCAGCCUUUGAUUCAACCUUUUGAAUCUCUAAACACUCAUUAAACCUUUUCAGCCUACUAGGAGAAGAUCGAACAUACCUAACAGCUGAUCUAACCUUUAAGAUUGAAGCAUUUUUUUCUUGAAGACCAUCUCUCACAAUCAGACCUAAAAUAUGUGCUCCACAUCGCAUGUGCAGAAAUUCUCCAUCCAAGAUUGUUGUUCCCCAUGAUGUCAACUUUCUUUUCAAGUAUCUUAUUGCAAGAUCAUUAGAACUUGCAUUAUCUACUGUAAUGGUGAAGACCCUUCUGAUUCCCCAGAAAACCAAACACUUGUCAACCAUUUUACCAAUGGUUUCACCAGCAUGAUUAUCAACAAUGCAGAAAUUUAUGAUCCUUUUGUGCAGCUUCCAAUUCUCAUCUACAUAGUGAGCAGUUAGACACAUGUAGCUCAUGUUCUGUAUGGAUGUCCAGCAGUCCGUAGUCAGAGAAAUACUGCCAUUAUAGUUUCUGAAAAACUUUCUCAAUUUGCUCCUUUCAUCCGCGUAAAGCUCCAAACAAUCUUUAGCCACAGUUUGACGACAAGGUAUAGCAAAACGUGGUUGAGCAAUGCUCAUAAAUCUUAUGAAUCCCCUAUGCUCGACAAAUCUAAAAGGCAGCUCAUCCAUAAUGAUCAUUUCCACUAAUCCCUUACGGGUUGCUGGUUGACUAAAUGGCAUAAAAGAUGGAACUUUACUCCCUUCAUCCGUACACUUACGAUGAAAUAAUGUUGAUUGCUUCAGCUUUUUACCUUCAUUUUCAUCUUCAUCUUCUUCUAGAAUAAUCAGCUUGCAUGUCUUGAUGUGGCCUGUAAAGAUGAGAACUUGUUUACAAUCAAAUGAAGAUCAAAAGUAACUAAGGUUUUGACUCUAGUCAAGUUAAGAUUGGGUUAAGUUACUUUUGGGACCACAAAGAGGAGCCUUUGUGUUUUGUCAUCUUGUGCACUAGGUUUAAGGAUGUCUCCUUGUAUUUAAGUAGUUGGGGACGUGAGAGAGAUUGUAGCAGCACACAAUGUAGAAAGAGGGUGAGAGAGGAACACAUAGAAAGCAUUAGCUUUGGGGUGGGUUUUCUCAUUAGAACAAGGGUGUGAUACAGAGUAUUAGUGUGUUAGCGAGAAGGUGUUUUCACAUUGUAAUAUCUCUUGUAUCUUUGUUCAUUUCUAGUGGAUUCCGAGACAAGGUCUCGGCGAGAUGUAGGUAGUGUCACAUUGACACUGCUGAACUCGUUAAACGUGUGUGUGCUCCCUUCUUCUCUAUUCUCAUCUCUAAUAUCUCUCUGCUCUGUUUUCUUGCUGCAACAUAAGCCUCUCUGUUUUAACAAAUCCGUUUUUGCACCAAACUACUUUAGUCUUGGUUGUAUGAGGUUCAUGCUCUAGAAAGUUUAAGUCUUUUGAGCUUCUGAAUUCUCAACAAGUGGUAUCAGAGCUUAGGUUCUGUGUAUUGUGGUUCUCCAAGCCAGAGAAUCAUGUUUUGUCAAGAAAAGAAGUGGUAGAGUUUGGUGCUUGUGGAAACUUUGCUAUGCGGAAGGAGAAACUCAUGGAUACCCUGCAGUUUCUAAGCAUGAGUGAAGCGUUGAAGAUGACUGAGAUUUCAAGAAGGAAAGUCUCAGAUCUAAGAGAAGUAGAAGCAAAAAGAGAGAAAGAAGAUUCAGAUCUAAGAGAGAAAAGAUCUAGAGAAAGAAGGAGAGUGAAGAAAGGUGAAAAGGUUGGAUCUUUGGAAAGCUAGAGCAGCAAGGCUCCUUUGCUUUAAGCAUCCAUGACCUUUCUGUGGAGAGCUUGUUUGUGCAGAGACAAGAAGCGUCUCAGGUGCAAGAAUCAAACAGAAGCUCUUGGUAAACAGUGUAGAAGAGAUAAAGAUGUCAUAAAACUCUAUCUUGGUGGAGCACUGUUGGGUUUUCUCAGGUGUUGAGAAAUAUUGUGGAGACAUGAGUGUCUCUGGCUCUAAAAGCAAUCUAAGUCUCUUGGAAAAGAGCACGAACCAGUGGAGAAGGAGUUAUAGGACUCGGUCUGGUGACAAUAAAGCAUCUCAUUCACAUCAUCUAAAAGAAGCAAAAGUUGCAGGUUUUCUAGUUGCUAUCUUAGAAGCAGUUCCUGUUGAAACAGGAGAAGAAGUAACAGAGGUAACUCCAGAGACUAUUUCAGAGCUGUUGCAGAGCCAACGACAGUUACAGAGACAGCUACAGAGACUGUCUCAGAGGUUGCUGCAAAAGCUCAGGUUAUGGUUUGUAGUUGAGUGUGAAAGUGAGAUGUUAACAAGUUGUACCAUAAGGAGAGAUUCAUAUAUAGCAGAAGUUUUGAAUCAAGUGAGGUGAUUUCUAGGUCAUGAAAUCAGGUUUCCUCUAAGUUCUUAAAGGGUACAAGAAGCUGCAACAUAGUGAGAAGGAUUUAUAAUCACUCACAAGUCAACAUGUUGCUAGCACAAAGAAAAUUCAGAGAUGAAUGAAAGAAAUACGUGAUCAAAGAUGGUCUUCUUGAUCACUGCUGAAGAAACCGAUCAGAGUUUAUGUAGGAAUCAAAACAUAAACUUCAAGACUCAAAUUAUGGGAAAUUUCAAGUCUAAUUCCGCUGCAGUCACAAGGUGUUUGUGAUGCUCUGUAUUGAAGUUUCAGAUUUGCUCAAGUUCUGCAGGUUUAUGGGAGUUGAAAGCUGGUUAACACAAAGGCAGUGUUAUGAUUUUGCAAGCGAUUGGCCAAGAUUCAGUGAUGGUUUCAGGUCAACAUUUGUGUGGUAAAAUCAGUUGCAGGUGGUGUUUAAAUACUGUUGUAAUCGCAGCCUCGGAAACUCAUAACAUUCAUGGGACUAAGGGACGCCUUAGAAGCUUGAAUUUUACGUGUAUUAGGCUGUGGAGUAUCAGUAAGGUUUUCUGGAUUCUCUAAAAAGGGUUUUGCAGAUCAGAAUUGGGUGAAUCAGAGAAUGAAGUUUGCUAGAACAGGAACAAGUUUGUUGGAACAACAAAAGCUGUUAUUGUUCUGUAUCGAGAAGAUGUGCUGGAGCACUGAAAAGUUGUUGGUAUGUCAGUGUUAUUAUCGGUAUAAGCUGAUAAAAACUGGAAGUCUCGAGGUGUUCACUUCAAGGGUUUGGCUGAGUUUUGAAAGGGGUUUCGGUUGUAGGUUUAUCUCUGUGUGUAGUUCUCAGUUCUUGUGAAUGAAAGAGUCUAUAGGUUGUGGAUUAUCAGAGAACGUGAAGCUACAAGGCUGCUAUUUUCAGAGGGAAUGCAGCGUCAUUUGUAAGUCCAUUUGUUUGGUGUAAGCUGGACAGUUUGUGGUUGUAGGUCAUGAGAACGAAUUCUCUUGACAAGGUAGUGGCAGCAUAAAAGAUUCAUGUUCUACGCAAAUUUGUGUUUGGCAUAACACAUGGUGAUUUUGCUUAAGGAACAUGGAGUUCUUAUCUCGGGUGGAGCAAUAUUUUCUCAGAGUGUAUCUUGUGUUUUGUGUUUUUUGGAUCAGAUCUUCAAGUGUUAAAAGAAGCAUCUGAUGGUAUGCAAUUGGCUGUACUAUUUUCUUGUGUCGAAAGUCUUCCUAGCCAAAGGGUGUUAGGCGGCGUGUCCUGUUCGUUUGAACAGCGGUGCAAGAUAAGUAUAUAGUGGAAUUGGCUACAGGAAAGUACAAGAUUUUAUUUAUGAGAUUGAGGUAUGGUUUGAUGGUGUAUCAGCCUAAGUUGUUUCACAAUUAGAUCAUGAAGAAUGUUCCAAGUAAAGAGAGGACAAGGCUGCAGAAAUUAAAGACAAGUUCUUAGUGGUUUUCUAGUUGCAAAUGGAUCAUUUGAGGUGGCUGAAGGAAGAAAGAAGAUGUGUCUCAUGUUUUGACACACUUUCUCAAGCAAGUAAUCAUGGUGAUUCAUAAGAACGUGGAAAUGAAUCCAAGAUACAGUGAAAAGUGGCUUUAACUCAGAUUGGUGAAGCUCAGCUUAUAGAGACAAAGUGCAUCCAAGGGUUAUAGUUUCAGGUGGAGUAUUGUUGCUACAAAAGGAGCAAUGCAUAUCUAAGGAUAUUUUUUCCUUCAUGGUGGAGCUAUGUUUGUGGAUGGUGUCUCGGAAGGUUAGCUGAAGAUAAAAGAGUUAAAUGGCUGUGUAACUCACUAGUUUAUCAGAUUCAUGGAAGUUCAGUAUGCUAAUAAGAGAACAAGUCAAGAACAGUUUAUUAUCAACGGGUUUUUCAGCUCAAAGAAGGUUAUAGUCUGAGGGUACAAGGCUGGUUACAAUUUUUGGUUUUGAAGCUGAUUGUUGGUGAUGAUAUCCAGAAACAGAGCUGCAGGUUUCUAUGAAAGAGUUGCAGGUUUUUUGAAAGCUUUUUUCAGAAGAUCCUAAGAUGUAAACAAAGAUGAAGACAUUGAAGUGGUUAAGUGAGUUCUCUAAAGGAGAAACUGAAAGGAGACAAGCACGAGUGUUGCAGGAGUUGUCUCAAGGCUGUUCACUUCGGGAAUGUGAAAGUGUUGUGUAUCAAGUUUGAUAACAACCCAUCUCAAAGCUGGUCUUGGUAACUGAAAAAGGAAUCCUAUGAAGGAUGUAAAUGCAGAGAAUGCAUUUGGAAGACAACAACUAAGGAGUUUUUUUUUUUUAGUUUUGGUUGUCUGCAUCAAAGGGGAGUAUAUGUAAGUAUCCUCUCAGAGAAAGAUACUUGCAGGCCAUUCAAGUGGAGUAUCUUCAAGUAUCAUAUGAUGAUAAAGAAGAAAAAGACUUUGGUUAAGUCUGAAAAUUGGAUGAUGCAAGGUUCAAAUCAUUUGGUGGAGGUCCGCAGGUUUUGCAGGACUGUACUACAGUAGAAAGUGCAUCAGAAUUCUAGAAUGGAUGUGAAAGGUGCUGUAAGGAUUGUCUCAGGGUUAUCACAAGGUCUUGUUGAUGUGAGACAGGUUUAAAGAUUGCUGGUAGUGGUUAAAAUCUGCUGGUAAAGGCUCUGUUUAAACAUAACAGUUGAACAAAGGAUGUGUUCUGGAUUGGUUUUGUUAAACAGGUUUGUAAAAGUAAUCUCAGGUUUCAGUGGUUCUUAACGGGCUGAUGAGAUUGUCUGCAAUGGUGAAUCAAGAGCUUCAAAGCUGAAGCUAAGAUGAUUCAGAUACUGCAUAAGAUUCAGAAAAAAGAUUUGAUUCAAGGCUCAGUGCACAUGAGAUGAAUCAAGUAGUCGACAAAGGAAUCAGGUUUGCAGAACGAAAAAAAAAGGAUGAUUACAAUCACUGAUACAUGUGUGUGGUCCUAACAGAGGCCAUGGUGGAGAAUGUGUGAUUGCACGUUUCAUAGGUGGUGAAGCUUAUGGAGUUUUCUGUUGAUAUUAACAAGUUGGAGGCGUUUCGUAACUUGUUAAUGGAGUUUUCUGAGCGGUGAUAUCAAGUAUUCAGGAGUUGAAUGCAUCAUAGAAGGUGAUCAGGGAAGAGUUGAGCUUAAUGCAAAACUGCAUUGAAGCUGGGUUUCACAACUCGUGAUCUAAAGAUGUGUUGAUGGCUCAGGUUCAGCAGUGUGAGCAGUCACAGCUGAAGUGUAUUGAAUAUAAGUUUAAUGCAGGAAGGAUCAAGCAGGUUUAUAGUGUUUUUUAAACUGCUAAGGAUCAAAGGCUAAGUAAUGAUACUCAGAGCCAAGACUGAAAUCCAAGGUUCAGGGUUCAAAAUCUCUCUCUUCAAGCUAAGUGCAGGCUGGUUUAGGAUUGAUCAACAUGUUCUCAGGUGGAGAUUGUAAAGAUGAGAACUUGUUUACAAUCAAAUGAAGAUCAAAAGUAACUAAGGUUUUGACUCUAGUCAAGUUAAGAUUGGGUUAAGUUACUUUUGGGACCACAAAGAGGAGCCUUUGUGUUUUGUCAUCUUGUGCACUAGGUUUAAGGAUGUCUCCUUGUAUUUAAGUAGUUGGGGACGUGAGAGAGAUUGUAGCAGCACACAAUGUAGAAAGAGGGUGAGAGAGGAACACAUAGAAAGCAUUAGCUUUGGGGUGGGUUUUCUCAUUAGAACAAGGGUGUGAUACAGAGUAUUAGUGUGUUAGCGAGAAGGUGUUUUCACAUUGUAAUAUCUCUUGUAUCAUUGUUCAUUUCUAGUGGAUUCCGAGACAAGGUCUCGGCGAGAUGUAGGUAGUGUCACAUUGACACUGCUGAACUCGUUAAACGUGUGUGUGCUCCCUUCUUCUCUAUUCUCAUCUCUAAUAUCUCUCUGCUCUGUUUUCUUGCUGCAACAUAAGCCUCUCUGUUUUAACAAAUCCGUUUUUGCACCAAACUACUUUAGUCUUGGUUGUAUGAGGUUCAUGCUCUAGAAAGUUUAAGUCUUUUGAGCUUCUGAAUUCUCAACAUGGCCUAACAUUGCGCUAGUUGUAGGACCAUCCUUGGUUCUACAUGUAAUCAUUGCAGAACAAUGACAACACUUAGCUUUGUCCUUAACAUUAGUCUUCACAAAAUGGUUCCAGGCUUUGGACUCUGUUUGUUGAGGUUGUUCUUCCGAUUCUGGUAAGCUUUCUUCCCAAGUACCAGUUCCACAAUUUGCUGUGGAUUUUGAAGCCCCAUCAGUAGAAUCCAUCUACACAAAGAAAACAAACUCGUGGUCAGACUUUGAUGUUAAAGCAUGCACUCAUAAUUUUUCCAAAUAGAAUCCAAUUGAAAAACCUAACAUAUCCAUAAGAGAUUUCACAAACAUUUAGAGAGAGAAGGAGCGUAGUACCGAAACAGAGAGAAGGUGCUAGGAAUAAAGAGAGAAUUUUGCAGUGAUGACAGAAGUCAAGCCGAUGAGAGAAUUUCUUGGGCAACGGCGUCGGCACACGGCAAUGGAAGAAGAAGAAGAAUGGUUUUGUUUUUGGUUUUUUAGGGUUUUGAUUUAUUUAUUAAUAUUAAAACACUUAAAAAUGGUGGGCUUACAGAUUUCUCUUUGGGCUUUAAGAUAUAAAUCAUAACUCAUAAAACCUUUAAGAGACAAUCUUAUAUUAUAUGGACCUAAAUAUAUAUGGACCUAAAUAGUGCCUGAUAUCCGUUAUCCGUUUUUAAUUUUAAGAGAAUCCGUAUCCGUAUCCGUUUUCAAAAUAUCCGUCAUUUACUAUUCGUAUUCGUAUCCGUUUUUCCGGAUCGAAAACCGGAUACGGAUACGGAUAUUCGCGGAUAGCGGAUAUUAAUCUCAGGCCUAACGGGUGGGUAAAAAUGCUUUUGGGUUAAUCGGAUAUCCAACCCAUUUUUUAAAUUCCUUCACAAAAAAUUUGUUGGAUCGGGUUAUAUUUAACUCAACUCAUACACCGGAUAUUCUAUAUUUAAUAAUUUAGAUAUUUAGAAGAUUUGAUUAAGAUUUAUAAUUAUGAUUCUCCUAUCAUCUUUGUUUGAUUUGUUUUUAAAUGUUUUGAAUCAUCAUAUAAUACAAAAAGUAAAAAAAAAACAAUUUUUUUUUCUGCAUAUACUGUGAUUCGAAAUUUUAAAAACGGACAUAUAUUAUCCAAUUGACGAAAAUGUGUGUUCAACGUUCUACAUCGAUUAAAAUAUUUAGAUAAUGAUUCAGAAUCAUAUCAUAAAUAAGAAUAUUAAUAAAAUAAAUGAGUUUUUUGGCCGGACGGGUUUGGCGUGACGGGUUUUUGAAUCAACAAUAAUAAAAAGAUUAAAAUAUCAUUAAUCCGCCGCUUCACUACGAAUUAAAUCCUUAUUUUUUUAAUACCACAAAUAUUAGAAAUAUUAAAUCAGUCUCAUUUAGAAAAGAUUGUAUAAAACCAAAAAUUGUCCUGUGGUAUAAUGUUACUUAAUAACAAUAUUUAUAAAAUUUUAAAAUAUCAUUAACAUGCCGCUUUAAUACAUACUAAAUUUUUAGUUUAUUAAAAUAUAAAUCUCUUAGAUAAUGAUAUGAUUUGUAAACUUUUAUAUAUAAUAAAUGAUCAUUAAAUUUUAAAAUAAAAACAAAUCACGGGACGGAUUAAGAAAUUACGGAACGGGUUAUAUUUCGGAAAGGAUUUAUAUAGCGAACGAAUUUGGAUCAAUAUUUAUACCGCUUUAAUAGGGGUUAAAUCCUCAGUUUAUUAAAAAUUGUCUCGUGGACUCGUGGUAUACCGUUACUUAAUAACAAUUGUAAACUAUAAUAUAAAUAAAUAUGUUAUAAGGAUAUACAAUUUACAAAAUAUUAUUAUAUUAACUUUAAAAUUAAAUCAUCCCGCGGUAUACCACGGGUUAAAAUCUAGUACUCUCUACAAAGACUCUAGUGGCCAGUUCAACUUCUUCAAGAAAAACUUAGUCUUCUUCUUAACUUUUUUUUUUUUUUUGUCAUCCGAAAUUAAUUAAAGCUCAAAAGAGCCAUUCCUGAGGAAUGUUAUUUACAUAAGUGAUAUGAAGCGGUUCUGUACGAACUUUUCGUGCCAGAUUAUCCGCCUUAACAUUAGCCCUACGAAAAAUUAAAGAUAAAGAAAAAGAUGAAAACUCCUCCUUGUUGCUCUGAAAUUCCUCCAAAUACACUAAAAACGCCGGCCAUUCGGUUGGAGAAGACACCAUCUUCACCAGGUCUGAACAGUCUGUAAGGAACGCUACCUCUUGAUUAUCUGCACCAAUCAUACACUUCAUCGCCCAGAGAAGGGCCUCAAAUUCGGCAUGUAGUGGAGAUAGACUUCUACGGAGGUUCGCAGCUCCCAUGGUUGGCGGCUCUCCAUUUGACGAUGUACAGAACCAGCCUGUACCAGAGAACUUAUCACUUUCUUUCCAUGAUCCAUCUACAAAACAACGAUAGUCUUCUUCUUAACUAUCUCUGCAGAAAUUAGUAAAAUGAAAUAUUUCGUAUGCUCUUGUUAAUUUCCAAAACAGAAUCUUUACGACAAUUCAUAUCAACAAGAGAAACAAAGAUAUUAUAAGUUAGAGGAACAAAAUUGAGUGAGCAAUAUCCUCCUAAUUGUAAAGAUUUUUUCAUACAAGACUGAUUCAUGAUCCUUCAGGGUAAAAGGUUCAGACACUCGUACACAAAAGCUAAUCUCUACUUCCCACAGACAAGCAUCAAGAUUCACAAAUGAAUCUAAACCUAACAGAAAACAAAAAACAAUCCUUAACGUUGCUCAUGGUUCUAGCCUUCUUGGCGUGGUGAGUGAAACAUGAUCCCCAAUGAAGAUAGCCAUCAAUUCAGCCACGAGCUGCUUGUCAUCAUCAUGUUUCCUAACAUACAAAUUUAAAAACACCUCACUAGUACUUGUCAAAACAGACGAUAUUGGAGGGAUUUCGCUUUCGAGCAAUCCUUUUGACAUGAGAAUUUUGAUUACAUUACACCUUGGGACAGUCCUUUUCUCUAGGCUGUAUCCAAGUACCUGAGGGACUGAAGCCACAGCCUUUACUGGCCAAUUCAUCUCCUUCACCAGAAACUCAGUCUUCUUCUUCACUAACUCUGUCGAAUAUCCAAUGCACUGAGGAAACCGCUUGAACAUCAUCAAAAACUCAUCUCUGCUGAAUCCUAGACCUAGAAAUGUUUCUACGGAGUUGGCUACCUUCUUCUCCGAGUGUCUCAGAGAGCGUGGCCACUUCUUGAACAUUGCCCAUACAUCGUCCACGGUGAAACCUAUACUUCUAUAGACUUCAACUUUUUCUUCAAUCGUUUUGUCGCUCAUUUGGUAAAGCAUGUGCAAAGCGUGCACAAACGUUGAGGUGGUUGGAUCAAAACCCAUCUCAACGACCUUCUUGAGUGAUGCAUCAAAAUUUUCUUUUCCACACACGGGCUGAAAUUUGGAGAUGAGCAAAGAUAAUAACCGCUUUCGAGGCACACCCAAAUCUCUCAAAACCAAAACAUUUCUGAUCUUGUUACCCUGUGGCAAAGAAUGAGAUAACUUUACAUACUUGGAACUCUUAUCCGCCUCUAUAAUGACUUUGAUGAAAUCAUAGUAUCUGCUGAUAGAUUUGCCCGCUCUCUUCCCCAAGAUUUUAGGAACUGUAGAAACAAUCUCAGUGAGCUCAGAGCUUGAAGCUCCUCUGGACUGCAAAAACUCAAGCUUUGAACCCAGGGAUGUCGCAGAAUUGGCAAUAAGCACUUGUGGAUCACUCCUAAUGAUGCUGGAGAUCUGAGAAUCUGUGAACCCAUAACUUCUAAGAAGAUCCAGAACCGAAUCAGCAUUGACUUUACUUGUGAGUUUUGCAGCUAAACGCAGUGAAUCAAGGAAUGAAGAAGCUUUAAAGGUCUCCCCUUUUCCACCAUCUUUAGGGUUUACAUCAGCAGCAGUAGCAGAGGAGAAGGAAUUAGAAAAAGCAGAUCCAUUUUGCAAUGAAACUCUCAAGUUACGCCAUUUCUGCAACCCCACGAACCUUCUUGCACCGAGUAUAAGAGAAUUCAUGACAACGCAAAGCGAUUACCUUUAAAGCGAUUCAAUUCGUGCCCAAGAUUAAAAAUUUCACCUUUUUUACUAUCGAGCAGCGAAGAAGAAGAAUCGACUUCAUUCACUUCAAUGGGGAAAAAGAAAGACACGGUUUUUAGGGUUUUCAGUUCUGGACCGGUUUAAGGACAAAUCAAUAACUGAUUUAAUUGGUUUACUUUUGGUUCAUAAAAUCACAGGUAAAUCAUAAAUUUCACUAUCUAUUUUCGGAAAAACGGUCUAUUUCCCCCCGAGAACUAUCGCAUCUGGCCAGAUAAAGCCCGAUCUUUGACCUUUGUCUAUAUACCCAUGAAACAAAAGUUAAAUGUUUAUUUCCCCACCAAUUGAAAGUUUGAGAUCUUAAUGUCCAUGAAUCCUAAGUUAGAGAUUUAAAACCCCAUAGCGCUGGGUUUAAUUGGUUUACUAUAUACCAAACCGAUGCUUUAACCACGUUAACCUAAUUAGAACCAGCCUUAACCCAAUUUACAACCCGUUUAUGACCCAUUACCCAAAAAAACAAAUCGAAACCUAAAACUAAAACCUAAAUCGAAAAUCCCCAAUUUGCUCUUGACGAACCCUCUUGAAUCCCCAAAUCACUUUUCCCCGAGUUUGAUCGAUGUCGUUAGCCCUUCACGACCCUGAUCUUGUUGGUGAUGUCGAUCCCGAAGCUGAAGACAGAGAUGAGUUUCACAUGGAAGAACUGCUAAAGGAGUGGACCGACGAACCACCAAUUCGCCACGAUGUGUACCCGGAGAGUGAUGAUGAGGAAAACGCCGACGGUUCUGGAAGAUUUGACACACAUAUCAGGUGUGGUGAUGGGUUUUUGUACCACAAGCAGAGUUUUUUCAGUGGGGUUGCGUUCAAAGAGGCGGUAGUUGAUUACGCUCUCAGAACCGGCUGCAAUAUAAAGCAGUACAAGUAUGAUUCCGAUAAAAUUGGGUUCAUAUGUGUUGGUUGUGAUGGGAAAAAAGGUGGAGCUAAGUGUGAGUGGAAAGUUUAUGCGGCCAUUCUCAAGAGUGAUAAUAUGUGGAAGAUUAGGAAGUUUGUUGACACACAUAGUUGUAUCCCUAAUGGAGAAUGUGAGAUGUUUAAGGUGCCACAUAUAGCUAGGUUAUUUGUUGAUAAGAUUAGGGAUAGUCCUGAAUUUUACAUGCCCGCAAAGAUUGAAGAAAUAAUUAUGGAACAAUGGAAGAUUAGUGUCACUAGGAAUCAAUGUCAAUCUGCGAGAAAGAAGGCUUUGCAAUGGAUUGAGAAAGAGUAUGAUGAUCAAUUUGCAAGAUUAAGGGAUUAUGCGGCUGAGAUAGUUGAAUCAAACAAGGAUUCACGGGUUGAAGUUGAAUGUCUCACGAGUGCUGAAGGUAAAGACAUGUUCCCCGCACCAGCAUCUUGUUGGCACUCCGACCACUCUUCCUCUUCCACGUGGUCCCGCAUUGGGAUCAAUCCUAGUUGUAAAAAAAAUCUCAAAAGUCUCAAAUUCCCCAGCGUUGAUAUAACAUAGCGAGCUGCUCUUCCCUAACACAAGAUAGAGACACAAAAUUUUCUGCAUUGUAAGAGUUAAAUGGCAGUGGCAGAGGCGGUCCAAAUCUCUCUUUUGUAAAAUCAAAACAAACUAGAACAUCUUCAAUAUUUACUCCUCCCACGGUUCUUUUCUUAUGCACAGGAAAAUAAGUAUUCCCCUUCAAAGACACGCCACGUUGAUGAGAGUGUAUAUUCCACUCUGGUUUGACAUCAAGAACCUUCCAUGAAUUAGAGCUAAAAUCAUAGACUUGGUACCUAAAAUCGUGGUUUCUGCUUGGAUACAGAUUGAAAAUCCUCAAGAUUUUGUGAUUACGGUUGUUUUUUUUUUUUUUUUUGACAGCGUGAUUACGGUUGUUAUCAUAUCCAAAAGCAUACAUAUCUAGUCUGCCCCAAAUAAGGGUUUUAUACCAAGAGCCUUGUGUUACCCAUAAUGAUGCUAGAAAAAACUUUUGUCGGGAUCAAAAUAUAAAAAUUUUAAAAAUAAAUAUUUUCGCGUAAAUUUUUCUAUGACCAAUUUAUUGGUUAGUAAUAAAGAUCAUAUAUUUAUCCAAUGAAUAAAAUUUAAGAAAACAAACCUUGUAACUUAUAUUUUUAUAUAACUUUCAUUUUUAAUAGUUUUAUAACCAGAGUUUAUCAUAUGUCUAAAAUUUAUCAAUAUAUUUGUGGAUAUAAAGUAGAUAUUUCAAUACACAAAAGGGAUUUAAGAAAUGAAAAAUAAAAGACUGAAUAAGCAAAUAGAUUAAAAAUGAAAUUAUCGAAAAGAAAAGAAAUAAAAUUGAAUGCAAAAUCAUUAUAAAAAAGGAAAACAUAUAUAAAACAACUAACGAAAAAAAUACCCGAGAGAGUUUUAAACAAUUUUACAAUGGGGUCAAUCCACAAAAAAUAACCAAAUGAUCAACAUAUAUGUAUUAGUUAUAUGCCUAACUUAAAUAAAAUUUAAAAAGUUAUUAGGGUCAGCUGACCCCACUGCUCUCUUACAGCCUCCGCGGCUCCGCCCCUGUAUUUGAACAUGGUACCAAAUGGGCAAGUUGUAAAAAAGAAGACAAGUUGGGUUUUGUGCAUAUUAUUGUAAGUUGCAUGGAAAAGCGUGAGAGUGCAGAGUGGCCCCACCGUAGACCUUUACUUUCUCCUCAAGUCCAUUUAGCUUACCACUCUGCACCCACAGUUUGCCCACCAUUUCUCACUGCCACAGCCAUUUUUAGUCUCUCUCGCUCUCUCUUCUUAGUUUGAGAAGACGGAAGUGGACUUCAUUUUCUUCUUUUUUUGCUAAAAAAGUAGACUUCAUUUUCUUGUACGGGAACUAAAAUAUUGCAGAUUGACAUAUACAAACAUGAAUCAUCAGAGGAGUAAAUUUGCUAGGUAGCUUCUUCUUCUUCUUCUUUUUUUUUUUUUUAAUUAUUGGUUGUAGUGCUCAUAUCUUGUUGAUGCAGGCUUGAUCAUACUAGGAAUUUGGGGAGUUCUGUGGAUGGAAAAAUCAAAAGUGUUAGAGGAGGCUUGAAGAAGUUUUAUCAGAAGAUGAAAACACUGAAAAACUGGAGGAAGACUGUCUUGUUAGCUUGCGUGGUUGAUUUGGCUAUUGAUCCUUUGUUUCUCUUUAUCCCUUUGAUUGAUUCUAAUAAAUAUUGCUUCACUUUCGACAAGAAACUUGUAGCAGUAGUUUGUGUCAUUCGUACUUUUAGUGACACAUUCUAUGUGAUUCACAUCAUAUUUCAUCUUAUAACCGAGAUCAUGGCUCCUCGUCCUGAAGCAUCUUUUAGAGGCGAGAUUUCCGUGCAUUCUAAGGCUACACGGAAAACACGUCACCUCUUUCAAUUCAUUGUUAACAUUUUCUCUGUUCUCCCCAUUCCUCAGGUAUUGUUCUCUUCGUUUUGUGACAUGUACUUUUCCAUGGUUUUAUUAGAGCUAGAUACAUAUGUGGGGAUGCAAAACUGUAGGUGGUGGUUCUAACUCUCAUUCCACGGUCUGCGUCGCUAGUGUCAGAGAAAAUACUGAAAUGGAUUAUACUUUGUCAAUUGUUACCAAGAAUCAUUCGUAUGUAUCCGCUUUACAAAGAAGUGACAAGAGCCUUUGGUACGGUGGCAGAAUCAAAGUGGAUUGGAGCUGCUUUAAACCUUUUCCUUUACAUGCUGCACAGUUAUGUAAGUAUGUGCUCUUCUUUCUUUGUUUUGUUAUACGACGCACGCGACUAUAGGAUUUGUUACAAUGGCUACUAGGUGUUUGGGGCUUUUUGGUACGUGAGUGCAGUAGAAAAGAAAAGCAAAUGUUGGCGUGACGCGUGCGCUAGGACAUCCGACUGCGAUCUCACGAAUCUGCUUUGUGGACGAGGUGGCAGAGACAACAGUCGUUUCCUCAACACUUCAUGCCCCUUAAUCGACCCUGCCCAAAUCACAAACUUCACAGACUUCAACUUUGGGAUGUUCAUUGAUGCAUUGAAGUCAGGUGUGGUAGAGGUGAAACCAAGGGAUUUUCCGAGGAAAUUCCUCUAUUGCUUUUGGUGGGGUCUCCGUAAUAUUAGGUAAUAGACAUAUCCAUCCAUUGAGGACGUUUUAAAACUCAUAGAUUAACCCACUCUAUUAACAAUUACAGUGCUUUGGGCCAAAACCUGGAGACAAGCAACUCUGCAGGGGAGAUUUGUUUUGCUAUCAUCAUAUGUGUCUCUGGUUUACUCUUGUUUGCUGUGCUCAUUGGAAACGUUCAGGUAAUGUUCAUACCUUAUAAACUAGAGUUUGAUCUCAUAAAGCUGUUUUUUUUGUUGAUCACAGAAGUACUUGCAAUCAUCAACCACUAGAGUAGAUGAAAUGGAGGAGAAAAAGAGAGACACUGAAAAAUGGAUGUCCUAUCGGGUGAUACCACAGUAUUUGAAGGAACGCAUUAGGAGAUUCGAAGAUUACAAAUGGCGAGAAACCAAAGGCACCGAAGAGGAAGCUCUUCUUCGUAGUCUUCCAAAAGACCUCAGACUCGAAACCAAACGCUAUCUUUACUUGGAUAUGUUAAAGCGUGUAAGCUCCCUUUUCGUGAUUAAUGAUCCCUGUAUCUCUGUUCACCCAGAAAUAAUAGCUUUUUCACCCCUCAGGUUCCAUGGCUUGACUUCAUGGAUGAUGGUUGGCUACUAGAAGCUGUGUGCGACCGAGUGAAGUCUGUGUUCUACUCAGCGAACAGCUACAUUGUGAGAGAGGGGCACCCAGUUGAGGAAAUGCUGAUUGUAACCAGAGGCAAUCUGAAAAGUACAACCGGAUCUCAUGAAAUAGGUGGCCGCUACAAUUGUUGUUACCUCCAAGCUGGUGACAUAUAUGGAGAACUUCUCUUCAAUGGUUCUCGCCUUCCCACCUCAACCAGAACCAUAAUGACUCUGACUGAAGUUGAAGGCUUCAUUCUCUUGCCUGAUGAUGUCAAUUUUAUAGCGUCUCAUUUAAAUGCCUUUCAACGACAGAAACUCAAACAAACAUUCAGGCAAGUUUCGAACCAAAGUAGCCGUAGGAGUUUUUUUACUACCUUAAACAAACUACAAGACUCAAAUUCCCCCUUUUUGGCCAUCCAUUUUUCAGGUUCUAUUCAGAGAAAUGGCGCUCAUGGGCGGCAUUCUUCAUUCAAAGGGCAUGGAGGGAACAUUGCAAAAGGAAGCUUUCUAAGAUCUUACGUGCCAAAAGAGACAACGAGAACAUUCCACAAGGCAAGCAACUCAAUCUUGAAUCAACGCUCUACGUGUCGAGAUUUGUGUCCAAAGCUUUGCAAAAUCGACGGAAAGAUACAGCAGAUUGUUCCACUUCUCUUGAUAUGUCACCUCCGGUACCUCAUAAACCAGCCGAUCUCGAGUUUGCAAGGGAUGAAGCAUAGUGUAUCUUUGAAGGAAAAUGACUUUGUACACAAACAAGGAAGUGAAGACUAUGCUUAAUUCACGCAAUCAUUUAUUAGGAAUUGUAGGGCAUGUUUUGAGUACAUGGAGAUAACUUGGUCGAUUGCUGUUUCUAGGUCAAGUCUGCCUUAAGAGAUGGUUCAAAAUAGCUACAAUAAGUUGUAUGUACAAAACAGAGUAUUCAAGUCAAAUUUGAUUCAAAGACAAAAACAGAGAGACUAAGAAAGCAAAAGAAGAUUCACUUCCUGUCUUUCUUCUUCACCACGUCAAUAAAUUCUCUCAUCAGACUUAUCAAUCUCGCCAUGAUUCUUUGCUGCUCCGAGACCAUUUUUACGUGAAUAUCUGGCCACCAAAAUGAUGCUUCUCAACUUUACUAUCUGAUUGGACUUCAACAUUAUUUGAGUGGAAAAAAAUGUUACGUGUUUUAGAUUGAACGAGAGAGAGACAUAGAAAGAGAUAAAGAGGAUAGUGGCCAAGGAAGAUGUAUACUGUGAAUUAUGAGAGAUUCUCCACAGAGAGGGAGAUGAACUUACUCAGGUAUAAUGUGGAGACAUAGAUUCUAGAUGUGAUCAUGUAAAAGUACACUCCCUGCAACAACACAAAACGGAGACAUAUAUCACUAAAAGAUUCAAGACAAAGUUAAUGUUCAAAGUUAAAGAUCAAAUGUAGAAUUAUUUAAAAGUUCAAAAGCAACAAGAUUUAGGAACAAAAAGGAUUAAACUUGUAAAAGAAAGCAUAAGAAACUAACUUGUAGUUCCAGAGCUUGUUUCUGAACCCGCAUAGAAACUGGUGACAUCAGUACACUAACCAGAAAAGCCGUAAGAACAAUCAACAUCCACCUAUAAAUACAAGAUUAGAAACCAAUCACUGAACUAAAACCUUAAGAAAUCAUCAAGCAAUAACAAACAUAAAGUCCCAACCAAUAUAAUCAAUGUUACCAAUUGAAGCCUGUGAGUUCAUGGAUUCCAUUAAUCACAUACUGCACGAAGUCCCCGGGGAAAGAAAAAUUCUCAAUUGCUGCAGUACACUCAUCUAUUGCUUCCACAGAUUUCUCAGAGACGAGAUCCUCAACAACAUUUCCAAAAGCAUCAAUCUUUGAACACAAUUCUUCUGGUUUAGACGACAGCAAUACUCCAGAAAAACCCGUUGGUUGAACAAAAGACAUUUUCCUUCUAUCUUCAAAGAAAACUUGCCUGUGAAAGCUACGAAUCAGAAGCCUUGAAUCUGGGAAAGACUUGAGAUACAUCGAUUCGAUCGAGUUUACUUACUUGCUUUAUAGAUGGAUCAACGUAGUCUCCAUUGUUUCGUAUUCCUUGGAGAUCGAAUUCCAAUGAACAAACCCUAAAAUCCAUCAUUAUAAACCCUAUAAACUGCUUGCUUGCUGCAGUUGCUUUUUGCCAAAAAUCUGAUUUUGGGAUAAAGUGUUCCACUUUUUGCAAGUAGAACGUAUUGCUCUCAGAGAUGUCAUCGGAACCCUCUCAGAGAGUAUCUUCUCUACCAUUGUCGUCAUUCUUUCAAACUUCAGAAAUUAGGUUUUGGACGCUCUCAAGAAAAAAGCUUUUUUAUUCCAUUCCAUCUAUUAUGAGAGACUCUACUUAAUCCAGAAGUUUCCAUUUUAAUCUUUAGAGCCCAAACCCUCUGUUUUCCAGACACAAACUUCCCUAUUCUCCACUUCUAUUCGAAUAUGGAUUUGUUUUCUCUCUUUCCUAGCAAUCCAUUGGACUUGAGAGCUUUCACUAGAAACUCUAUAAUCUUCAGAUAAAGCAAGAUACCGAGGAAAGCGUUUAACCAUCAUCACAAACUCAUAAAUCCUAAGCCAAGAAAUGUUUCAAUGGACUUCAAUAUCUUCUUCUCCGAUAGUUUCAGAGAGUUUGGUAACUUCUUGAACAUUCCCUUCACCAAAGCCUAAACUUUUACAGACAUUGACUUUUUCUUCUAUCUUUUUGUCACUCCAUCCAUAGAAAAAUUUGCAGAGCAACCCAUGUGAACAACCUUCUUAAGGGAUUCUUCAAAACCGUAAGGAUGUAUAUCAACAACAAACAUUACACCAACUCUGUGUACCUCUAAUAUUGUUGAACCUGAAACGGAUUUGAGGCAUAUUACCUUGUGAGUCAAACAGAGAAACUCCAAUGGUCGUUAGCCAUCACAAAACACGAACAAGUUUUUAAAGAGUCUGAAGCUUCGUCGGUUGGAUGAUAUAAGAUAGCUUUCAAGUGCCUCCAUGAUAUUAAAGGCAACGUAGUGAGACACCAUAAGCUCACAAGAACGUGCAUGAAACGCGAUUAGUGAAAAGAGAUUCAAAAUAACAUUUUACAGUUAAGUCGGACACCAUAUAAACAGAAACGGUUUAGAUCCUGAUCAUAUGAGAUUACAAAAAGUCUAAAAUUUAAGUAUUCAUAAAUAAAAGCAACAUUCUUCACAAGCCUUCUGAUCUAUGAAGCCUAAUAUUUGGUGAAGAUAGCCAUGCCAUUAAUUUAAGCACAAGGAGCUUAUCAUCAUCCUUCACCACAUACCUGUUUAAGAACGCCUGAUCAGUACAUGCCAAGACAGAAGCCACUGAAGGGAGUUCACUUCCAAGCGAUCCUUUGGACAUGAGAGCUUUGAUUACAUUACACCUUGGAACAAUCCUCUUCUGCAAGCUGUAUCCAAGUCCCGCAGGGUUCGAAACCACAGACUUUAGUGGCCAAUUCAUCUUUUUCACCAAAAACUCAGUCUUCUUUUUCACCGUCUCUGCAGACAAUCCAAAGCACAUAGGAAAGCCCUUGAUUAUCAUCACGCAUUCAUCUCUACUGAAUCCUACACCUAAAAAUGUUUCAAUUAAACUCAAUAUCUUCUGCUCUGAAAUACGUAUGAAUUGCGGAUACUUCUUCAGCACUUGAAGGACUUCGUUUUCGUCCAGACCACACAUCUUCAAGGUUUCAAUCGUCUGAGUUAUCUUUUCCUCUGAGAAUUUCAAAGAGCAAGGCCACUUCUUGAAGAUUACCCAUACAUCUUCCACAGAAAAGCCUAACCUUUUGUAGACAUCGAGUUUUUCUUCAAUUGUUUUGUCACUCAUUUGGUAAAAGCCAUGGAGAGCUUUGACAAACUUCGAAGUGGUUGGAUCAAAACCCAUCUCAACAACCUUCUUGAGGGAUUCUUCAAAUUUUUCUUUUCCACAUACAGGUCCGCUAUCAGAGAUGAGCAAGGAGAAUAACAACCUCUGAGGCACACCCAAUUCUCUCAGAACCAAAACAUUUCGGAUUUUAUUAUCCUGCCUACUACCCUCUGGCAAAGCAUGACAUAACUUUUCAUACUUGGAGGAACUCUUAUCUGCUUCUAUAAUGACUUUGAUGAAAUCAUAGUAUCUGCUAAGAGAUUUGCCCUCUCUCUUCCCCAAGAUUUUAGGAACUUUAGAAACAACCUGAGUGAGCUCAGAGCUUGAAGCUCCUCUUGACUGCAAAAACUGAAGCUUGGGACCAAGUGACUUGUCAGCAUCUGCUAUAAGCAAUAGUGGAUACAUCUUAAUGAUGUUGGACAUCUGAGAAUCUGUGAACCCAUGACUCCUUAGAAGACUCAAAACCGAAUCAGGAUUACGCUUGUCCUCAAAAAAAAAAAAAAAAAAAAAAAAAAAAAAAAAAAAAAAAAAAAAAAAGAGCCCGUGAAGAUCCUUGUAAUUGUGAAGAUUGUGAAGUUGCCGUGAUUGCAAUCAAGGGUUUCAACUAGAGUGUCUCCGCCAUGAAAACAGAGCGGCAAAACGUCUCGGAGGAUGUUGUUGUCGUCACCGAACGCAAUAAGCGAGCGAAGACCUCAAACAAUGGUGGAGAACCGAUCCCAUUUGAUUUAACUGUCGAGAUUUGUUCGAGACUGCCAGCGAAAUCUAUAUCAAGAUUUCGCUGCGUAUUGAAGCUAUGGGGUUCCAUUCUUCGCCUCCCCUACUUCACGGAGUUGUUCUUGACCAGAUCAUUGGCUCGCCCACAACUAUUGUUUGCCUGCCAUAAAGACAAUCAUGUGUUUGUCUUCUCCUCACCGCAGCCUCAAAAUAUUGAUGAUAACAACGCCUCCUCUCUUUUAGCCGCCAAUUAUCAUAUGAAAAUUCCGUUUUAUGCCUCUUCCUUUGAAAGAUGUAGUUCUGUCAGAGGCUUGGUCUUUUUUGGAGAUGAGCGGUAUUCAAAUGGAAAGGAGCAUAAGGUCUCGGUGAUAUGUAACCCGAGCACCCGACAAUCUUUGACCUUACCGAAACUGAAGACAAGGAAGAGGAUUGGAGUGAGGAGCUAUUUCGGGUUUGAGCCCAUUGAGAAACAAUACAAGGUAUUGUCCAUGACCUGGGGGAUAUAUGGAACACGAGACAUGGACUCUGAGGAGCAUCAAGUUUUGACAUUAGGAACUCGAAAACCGUCAUGGAGAAUGAUCGAAUGUUGGAUACCCCAUUCUCUUUAUCAUACAUACAACAAUGUAUGCAUCAAUGGUGUUCUGUAUUAUCCAGCGGUCAAUACUUCUUCAAAGGGUUUCAUAAUCGUUUCCUUUGACUUUAGGUCGGAGGAGUUCAGAUUUGUUGAAGACACAGACACUUCCAUUUCAUCAUAUUAUGGUCCACAUCUGAUAAACUAUAAUGGUAAAUUAGGUUCACUUGGGUCUGGAGGAUUUGGCGGUAUCGGUGCAAGCUGUACAAGUAUUACGUUGCGGGUUCUAGAAGAUGCCGAAAAGCAUGAAUGGUCGGAGCAUAUAUAUGUAUUACCCGCUUGGUGGAAGAAUAUUUUUGGAGGGGAAUGUACAGUUUUAAGCGUUGUUGGAGUGACUCGGACAAAUGAAAUUGUGUUGUCAUUGCGCUUUCCAUCCACGCCUUUCUACGUUUUCUACUACAAUACAGAGAGAAACGCAAUCAGAAGAGUCGAAAUCCAAGGACAGGAAGCGUUUAAGGAUCAUUCUGUUUACACCUUUCUAGACCAUGUAGAGAAUGUGAAUAUGAAGCUUCUGGAAGGGUUUUAAUCAUGACUUUUAUAACUUUGAGAUUUUUGUAACAGAGCUAGUUUGGCCGUUACUCUUUACUUUCAUCAAUUUUUCAGUUUUCUGUUAUGGAUAAAUCAUCUGCUAAUAUGCCAUUGGCUUUCUUUGGAGGCUUAAAGCUAUUCAUAUUACCACAUUCCAAAAAAACUCUUUAUUCAACAAAUAUAACCAAUGAAACAUGACGUACAUAGUAACUUAAACUCAUAAAAGAGAUUCAAUAUUACAAUUUGUUAUUGUCACAAUCUGAUUUGCAUAUAAGACGAAAACAGCGUGGAUCCUCCAGAUCAGAUUGAGAUUACAAAAGUCUAAAUGGGUUUCAGACACUAGUCAGCCAUCAAAUUAAAAGUUUCACCAAUGUUCUGGUAAUACGUAUGAAUUGCGGAUACUUCUUCAGCACUUAAAGGAUUUCGUUUUGGUUCAGACCACACAUGUUCAAGGUUUCAAACGUCUAAGUAAUCCUUUCCUCUUGAGAAUUCCACAGUAAAGCCUAAUUAACCUUUUGUAGACAUUGACUUUUUCUUCUAUUGUUUUGUCGCUCAUUUGGUAAAAGGCGUUGAGAGCUUUGACAAACUUUGAAGUGGUCGGAUCAAAACCCAUCUCAACUUGUUGAGAGAUAUUUUCUUUUCCAUUGACCGGUCCACUAUGUGAGAUGAGCAAGGGGAAUACCAACUUCUGAUGCCUAGAAUGCAUGUAAAUUACGAGUGUAAUAAUCGUGAAUAUAUAAAGGAAGUCAACAGAUUCGACUACUAUUCGGUGGAUCGGAUUAUUUUCAAAUAAAAGUAUAAUUAUUGAAAUCAAACGGGGAGAAAUAAUCAAAUAUUACUCGCACAAGUUAGUGAUUUUAAAGUAUGUCACGUCUUUGGUCUCGCUCGAUAGAAAAUACUAAAGUUUUGUUUUUAUUUCUUGAUCGCAAAGAAAGUCUCUAUCUUCUCUUGUUCUUUGCAUCCUCUCUGGUUUGCUCAGAUCAGUAAAUUUCAAAUUUCAGAUAUAUCUGCCUUUCAGUAGAAUGGGCGCCUCUAUCUCAAUACCCUGUGAUACGUGUAUAAAUAAAGUCUUUUACUGGCAAGAAAAGAAAGUAGGCUAUACUCGCAAUCUCCAGAAGAAUCUCGUGGCUCUAGAGACAACCAUGGAAGAGCUCAAGGCUAAGCGAGAUGAUUUGACAAGAAGGUGUUGGUUUAAGCUUGAAAGAGGCUUAAACCGGAGGUUACUUAAACCGUAAGAUGUCGGUUUAUUGAAGAGAUAAAGACUAAUUCUUUAGGAGUUAUCUAGAGAAUAUCAUGUAAUCCUAAUUGAGUUAUGAUUAGGUUUAGAGGUUGUGGCUAUAUAAGCAUAUAUCAAGUUGUGAUAUAGCUUAAGAGAUUAAGAGAGUUUUAUGCGGUUUUAGAGUUUGAGAAGUAAUUGAGAGAGACUUAGGUUUUGAGAGAUUUUCCUAAGUAAUAAAAGAGAGUUAUUCUUUUGUUGUUGUGUUCUUGAUUACUUUUACAAACUAGAAUUGGUAUCAGAGCUUUAAGGUUUUGAUCUUGGAGUUUUGAAGAAGGAGACGUGAAGAUCCUACGUACGUACAGCCGUCGAGACCGAGCCAUGGCCGACGACAGACCACCACGCUCGAAGGAGAUCUCACUACCGUCUAUCCAAUGUCCGAUGCUCAACGAUUCUCACUACACGGUCUGGGCUAAGCGGAUGAGAAUCAUGUUGAAGAUAUAUCAUGUAUACGAUGCAAUCGAACCGGGAUCGGAAGAUAUUGACAAGAACAACAUCGCGACAGGAUUGUUGUUUCAAGUCAUGCCGGAGAGUCUUAUAUUGCAAGUUGGUGAUCAUGAGACUCCUAAAGCAGUAUGGGAUGCGAUCAAAUCACGUCAUCAAGGUGCUGAUCGAGUCAAGGAAGCAAGACUUCAAACCUUGAUGUCGGAAUUUGAAAGAAUUAGGAUGAAGGAUACGGAUACUAUUGAUAGCUUCUCGGGGAAGUUAUCGGAGUUAGCAUCAAAAUCUUCCUCACUUGGUGUAAAGAUUGAGGAAACCAAACUCGUGAAGAAAUUCCUUAAUAGCUUACCAAGAGGAAGGUUUAUUCAAAUCAUAGCCAAAGAAAGAACAACAAACCAAAACAACCAAGGUCAAGCAAAAGAGAAGAAAGAUAUCUCAAAGGUGGUUUGUUACCGCUGUGACAAGCCGGGUCACUACGCCUCCUCGUGUCCAGAAAGAGUUCAAAGAACACACGAAGCAAACAAGACAGAGACGAAAGAAGCCGAUGCUGCUCUUUACAUGCAUGAAGUGAUCUUUUUGAAUGAAGAAAAGGUGAUUCCAAGGAAUUACGAGAUCAAAGAUGGGGAAGACAAAGUGUGGUAUCUCGACAACGGAGCAAGUAACCACAUGACCGGAAACAAGACUUUCUUUUCUGAGCUCAAUGAGAAGAUUAAGGGAAAAGUGAAGUUUGGAGACGGAUCAUGUAUCGACAUCGGAGGAAAAGGAUCAAUACUUUUUCAAAGCAAAACCGAAGAACAAAGACUUGUUACGGAUAUCUACUAUAUCCCCGAUUUAAAAAGCAACAUUCUUAGUCUCGGGCAAGCAACCGAAGCCGGCUGUGACGUGAGGAUGAAGCAAGACUACCUAACACUCCAUGAUUCAAGCGGAAGACUUCUAGUGAAGGUUACGAGAUCGCCAAAUAGACUAUACAAGGUAAGUCUACGAAUUGGAAAGCCUAUGUGUUUAAACACAACACUAGAAGACGAGACAUGGAGAUGGCAUGCACGUUUGGGACAUGUAAGCUUCAAGACGAUGAGAAAUAUGUCUCAACAAGAGAUGGUUCAAGGAUUACCAAAGAUCAAAGAAGAAACCAGAAUUUGCGAGUCAUGCCUAGUAGGAAAACAAGUCCGUGGCUCUUUCCCAAAUGCAGCAACAUUCCGAGCCACUAAACCAUUGGAGCUACUACACGCCGAUCUUUGCGGUCCCAUAUCACCAUCAACAAUUGCUAACAACAAGUAUGUAUUUGUUAUUAUUGAUGAUUUUUCUAGGUAUAUGUGGACAAUUUUAAUGAAAGAGAAAGGAGAAGCUUUCAAAAAAUUCAAGGCGUUUAAGCAAUUGGUGGAGAAGGAAUUUGAAAAAGAAAUCAUAACUCUAAGGACUGAUCGAGGAGGAGAAUUCACGUCAAAAGAGUUCAAUGAUUUUUGCGAAGAAAACGGGAUAAAGAGACACCUCACGGCACCAUAUACACCGCAACAAAAUGGUCUGGUUGAGAGAAGGAAUAGGACAUUAAUGGAGAUGACUAGGAGCAUUCUCAAGGCUAUGAAGGUACCAAAUUAUCUAUGGGGAGAGGCAGUCCGUCACUCAACAUAUGUUAUUAAUAGGAUACCAACGAGAGCCCUUGAAAAUAUGACUCCCUACGAAAGCUUGCGAGAGAAGAAACCAAGCCUAGAUCACUUAAGGGUUUUCGGGUGCUUAGCUUACACGAAGAUUGAAGCUACUCGCCUAAAGAAGCUAGAUGACAGAUCGCAAACUCUAGUACACCUUGGAAUUGAGCCGGGAACCAAGGCUUAUAGACUUUACAAUCCAACGACAAGGAAAGUGGUUGUAAGUCGAGACGUGGUGUUUGAUGAAAAGAAAGGUUGGUGCUGGGAAAAACAAGUAAACGGAUCAAGGGAAGAUUCGGGCAUGUUUCACAUGAGAUGGGGUGAAGUCAUAGAUGUUGGAGAAGGACCCGUAAUUGUCAAUAACGAUCUAAAUAAAGAUCUAGAUGAAACCGGAAGUAACGGUAGUAACUUUGGUGACCAUGAUCAAGAACAAGAAGAUGACAACAAUACUGAGGAGACUAACACCAACACUAACAACAACUUGCCGCAUCAACAAGUACAACAUCAACAACCACAAGAGCAACAAUUAAGACGAUCGGGUCGUCAAACUCUUCUACCUAGGCACCUUGAAGAUUAUGUACUCCAAGCUAAGAUAGAAGUAGAGAGACUAGAGAGACUUCUACUUUCAAUAAAUGAUGAGCCGAGAAGCUACAAAGAAGCAAAGGGCUUAUUAGAGUGGAGAAAAGCAAGCAAGGAAGAGAUUGAUUCUAUCAACAAAAACAAGACAUGGUUUUUGGUUGAAAAGCCGAGAGAAGCAAAAGUGAUUGGUCUCAAGUGGAUUUUUAAGAUCAAGAAAAAUGCGGAUGAUGCUAUCAAUAAAUCCAAGGCCAGAUGUAAGAUGGGUGAGACGAAGCGAGAGACUGACAAGUCCGAUGAGGAGAGGAAGGUUCUUGAAGCCAUAGCUUUGAAAGGUUCGGAGUUAGAGACUAAAGUUGCACGGUUGCAGCAUGAACUGAUCAAGGCUACGACGGAGGCAAAGAAGCUUCUCUAUGACAAUGGCGGAAUUGAGGAAGUGGAGAAAGAGGUCGCUGGUUUAAGGACUGUUAAGGAAGAGAAUGAGAAGAGAAUGAAGGAAUUGGAGACAAAGCUUGGUGCUUUGGAGGUGAAGGAGUUAGAGGAGAAGAACGAAAGGUUCCAAGCAGAGGAAGUAGAUGAGGAGAAAGAAAAGGAGGAGAAGAAAAGAAAGAAGAUUAAUGGUUUGGUUCCUGAUAAUGGUGUUGUUGUGAAACAUAUCAAGACAGGUGAAGAAAUCGUUGUUUCGAGGAGAGUUGUUGGUGUUUUCCUGCUAAUGACAAUGGCGGAGUUUAGUGGUCAGUUUUGCGGGCUCCAAGAUGAGUUUUUCAACUAUGGCUGGAGACUUGAGUUUAGAGGGAACAACGUGACUGCGUUGUGGCCUGGGAAUGGGAAACCUGGACUGUGGUUGAAUUCGAAUUCAAGGAUGGGAGCGAUUUAUAGUUUGAUUGUGAGAGAAGAGGAGAUUUUGAUAGAGAAUGAAGAGAAGGGACAACAAGGUGAAGCCAAUGGUGGAGCAUUUAUUAGAGAGUCCAUCUAUGGUGUUGGGAUUUAUUUAACUGUUGCAAACUGCUCUUACUUCAGUGCUAGAUAUUGUGAUGGUGACAAAAACGGAGUUCGUUACAUGGUUUUAUGUCAUGUAAUAAUGGGGAAUAUGGAGCUUCUUCGUGGUGAUAAAGCUCAAUUCUUUUAUGGUGGAGAAGAAUAUGACAAUGGAGUAGUCGAUGAUAUCGAGAGUCCAAAGAAUUACAUUGUCUGGAACAUCAAUAUGAACACUCAUAUAUUCCCCGAAUUUGUUUUUAGGUUCAAGCUGUCUAAUCUCUCCAAUACUGGAGGUAAUUUGAUUGCUAAGCGUGAAGUUGCUGCGUUGCUUAGAAACAAUGAUGGUGAUAAGAAGAUUUCAAGCUUAAGGGGGAGAUUGUUGGUUUAAGCUUGAAAGAGGCUUAAACCGGAGGUUACUUAAACCGUAAGAUGUCGGUUUAUUGAAGAGAUAAAGACUAAUUCUUUAGGAGUUAUCUAGAGAAUAUCAUGUAAUCCUAAUUGAGUUAUGAUUAGGUUUAGAGGUUGUGGCUAUAUAAGCAUAUAUCGAGUUGUGAUAUAGCUUAAGAGAUUAAGAGAGUUUUAUGCGGUUUUAGAGUUUGAGAAGUAAUUGAGAGAGACUUAGAUUUUGAGAGAUUUUCCUAAGUAAUAAAAGAGAGUUAUUCUUUUGUUGUUGUGUUCUUGAUUACUUUUACAAACUAGAGAAGGAUCAGAAGAGAGGAAGAUAGAGGUCUGGAAAGGCUUGCCGAAAUACAGGUAUGGCUUAAUAAAGUUGAAACUGUCGAACAAAACGUCAACGAACUUCUUAGUGAUAGAGAUGUUCAACUUCAAAGGCUAUGUCUUUGUGGGUUUUGCUCUAAGAAAUUGAAAUCGGGCUAUCAUUAUGGGAAAAAGGUUUUCUUGAUGUUAAGGGAGGUUGAGGAACUGAUCAAAACUAGAGAUUUUGAUGUGAUUGCUGAUCAAGCUCAAGCAUCCAAGGUGCAAAAAGGCCUCCUCCACGGAUAAUUGUUGGUCAAGAGACAAUGCUAGAUAACGCAUGGAAACAUCUGAUUGAAGAUGGAGCUGGUAUUAUGGGUAUGUACGGUAUGGGCGGAGUAGGGAAGACAACUAUUCUCACCCAGAUCAAUAAUAAGUUCAGUAAUGAUAGGUGUGGAUUUGACUUUGUGAUUUGGGUUGUGGUGUCUAAAGAGCUGCAUAUAGAGAAUAUUCAAGAUGAAAUUGCUGAGAAAGUUGGUCUUGGUGGAGAAGAGUGGAACAAAAAAGAUGAAACUCAAAAGGGCCUUCAUUUAUACAAUUUCUUAAGGACAAAGAGAUUCAUGUUGUUUUUAGAUGAUAUAUGGGAGACGGUGGAAUUAGAUAAGAUUGGAAUCCCGGAUCCAACAUCACACAAAGGAUGCAGAUUGGCAUUCACCACUCGGUCUCUAAAUGUAUGCACGAGCAUGGGGGUUGGAAAACCAAUGGAAGUCCAAUGUUUGGCGGACGAUGACGCAUUUGAUUUGUUCAAAAAAAAGGUUGGAGAAUUAACACUCGAAAGCGAUCCACAGAUCCCAGACCUUGCAAAAAUAGUUGCUAAAAAAUGUUGUGGUUUACCAUUGGCUCUCAACGUAAUAGGUGAAACCAUGUCAUCCAAGAGGACGAUACAAGAAUGGCGACGUGCGAUAUCAGUUUUGACUUCAUAUGCCGCAGAGUUUUCAGGCAUGAAUGAUAAGAUCCUUCCGCUUUUGAAGUAUAGCUACGAUAGUCUUAAAGGGGACCAUGUCAAAUUUUGUUUGCUAUACUGCGCUUUAUAUCCGGAAGAUGCUAAAAUUCCCAUAGAAGAUUUGAUAGACUACUGGAUAUGCGAAGGAAUUAUAGAUAGAGGUGAAAGUGUUGUAGAGGCUGAGUAUAUGAGUUAUGAGAUAAUUGGUAGUCUUGUGUGUGCAUCAUUGUUGAUGAAGGGGGUUGAUCAGGAUGGAAAAGAUUUUGUGUGUAUGCAUGACGUGAUUCGUGAAAUGGCCUUGUGGAUCGCAUCUGAUUUGGGAAGAGAAAAGGAUGUUUUUAUUGUGCGUGCAGGUGUUGGGCUACGUGAAAUUCCAAGGGUUAGGGAUUGGAACAUUGUAGAAAGGAUGUCAUUGAUGAAACUGAGGAAUAACAAGAGGUUUCAUGUUACUGGCACUCCUGAAUGUAUGAAACUCACAACUUUGCUCCUGCAACAUUCGAAUUUGGGAAGUAUCUCGAGUGAAUUCUUCAAGUACAUGCCAAAUCUUGCUGUGUUGGAUCUAUCGAAUAAUGACAGUCUUUGUGAAUUGCCGGAUCUAUCAGGAUUAGUUUCCCUGCAAUAUCUCAACUUGUCAAAUACUAGCAUACUCCAAUUGCCUAAGGGUGUACAAAAGUUGAAGAAACUAAUUUACUUGGAUUUGGAGAAAACAUUUGUUAUUUGGGGUAGUACUGGGAUAUCAAGUCUGCAUAAUUUGAAAGUUUUGAAGUUAUUUGGUUCUCAUUUUUAUUGGAACACCACAUCAGUGAAGGAAUUGGAAGCCUUGGAACAUUUGGAAGUUUUAACCAUAACAAUUGAUUUUUUUUCUCUGUUUAAUGAACUCAGACUGCGGGAGUUGGAAUCCUUGGAACACUCAGUAAGUUUAACCUAUACAACUCCUUCAGACUAUCCAGAACAAUUUUUAACCUCACAUAGGUUGAUGAGUUGUACACAAAUUCUAAGAAUCUCGAAUACCAUCAAUCUGGAAUCAUCUGGAAUAUCACUUCCAGCAACUAUGGACAAGCUUCGUGAACUCUACAUUUUUAGGAGUUGCAAUAUCUCUGAGAUAAAGAUGGGAAGGAUAUGCAGCUUCUUGAGCCUCGUCAAAGUGCUUAUACAAGAUUGUAAAGGCCUGAGGGAAUUGACAUUUCUGAUGUUCGCUCCAAAUCUUAAAUUUUUGUAUGUUGAUGAUGCAAAAGACCUAGAAGAUAUAAUAAACAAAGAGAAAGCUUGUGAAGUUGAAAUUAGGAUUGUUCCUUUUCAAAAGCUGACUAAUCUUCAUUUGGAGCAUCUACCGAAGCUGGAGAAUAUAUACUGGAGUCCUCUAUCCUUUCCAUGUCUAAAGAAAAUCGAUGUAUUCGAAUGUCCAAACCUGAAAACAAUUCCAAAAGUGGCAAGGAGGGUGAUAAUGGACUCAGCAUAUGAUAUAACAAAUGGAUUGAAGGUGUGGAAUGGAAGGACUCUCACUCUCUUUUUUUUUUUCUUUUGGAUUUAGAAUUGCUUCUGUUAAAUUUUACUUCGAUCUUUUUGUUUUCACUACACUCAAAACAUUGGUGCAAAUUUUGUAGUUAGAUUGGUUGUUUUUCGAAUUGUGUAUGUACAUUGGAACCGAUUUAAACACAUAUCUAGUUAAUCAAUAAAUAGUAUUAUCAAUUGCCAUUGCAUAAGAAAUCGAACAUGUGAAAAACAACUUACGCAUAAAAUUAUAUUGGGAAAAAUGUCGUUUUAUCUCCCAACUUUCAAAAAGUGGUCAAUCAAUACGUCAACUUCAUAUGUGGCCAUUUAAAACAUUAAAUAAACGUUGACUAACGUUUGAGACAAGGAAAUUCGUUGACCAGGCCAAAAUAGACAUGCCGUUAUCAGUCGUUAACGGAACCUCUAACGCCCGUUAUCACCCGUAACGACUCUGUUAAUCAACUUUCAAAUUGUGGCCAUUUUAAACAUCAACUUUAUAUGUGGUCAUUUAAAACAUGAACUAAUCGUUGACUAACAUUUGAAACAUGAGAAUUCGUUGACCAGGCCAAAAUAGACAUAUCGUCAUCAUUCGUUAAAAAAACCUAUAACAUCCGUUAUCACCCGUUAACGACUCUGUUAGUAUAUCCAAAACGACGUCGUUUUGAAAAUAAUCGAGAGAAAAUCAGGACAAAUUUUUUGUUUAAAGCAUAAUCCAAGGACAUGGUUUGAUAUAUAGACAAUCGUAGAGCCAAUAAUUGGAAGCAAACAUCGUUUAUAUAUUUGUUUUAAAUCUAAAAAGGAAUCAUGAAAGCAAACUUGUAGACCCAUCAUAGGACUAAAAUAGGCAUGGGCGUUCAGAUAUUCGGGUCAGGUUCGGGUUGGGUUUUUCGGGUUUGGGUUUUUCGGGUUUAGAAAACUAAGAUCCAUUCGGGUAUUUUAAAACUUCGGGUUCGGGUCAAGUUCGGAUCGGGUAUUUCGGGUUCGGAUUCAGGUUUACCCAAAGUAUCCAAAUAUUAGAAAUUUUGUAUCCGAUCCUAUGCAAAGUAUUGAAAAAUAAUCAAAAAAUCUAUAAAACCCAAGUAUUUUAACCCGAAUCUAACCCAAAGUAGCUAAAACACCCAAAAAUAUCUUAACAUCCGAAUAAUUUUGGCACUUAGGUUAUUACAAGUAUAAAUAUUACUAAUAUAUUAUAACUAUGUACUUAUAUUUUGGGUAUGUUCGAGUACUUGUUCGGGUUCGAGUUCGGGUCGGGUUCGGGCCUAGACUAAAUGUAGCUUUUCUGAAAUGGAGAUAGAGAUAAUAGGACUAUUCAUCUUGUUUGAGCUGUUGUAGAAAUAGAUUUGGGGAUUUGGUGUUUUCAUUUGGGAAAAAUCUUUUUGGACAUACUAACAGUGUCGUUAACGGGUGAUAACGGAUGUUAUAGGUUCUGUUAACGAAUGAUGACGACAUGUCUACUUUGGCCUGGUCAACGAAUUCUAAUGUUUCAAAUGUUAGUCAACGAUUAGUUCAUGUUUUGAAUGGCCAAAUAUGAAGUUGAUGUUUAAAAUGGCCACAAUUUGAAAGUUGAUUAACAGAGUCGUUACGGGUGAUAACGGGCGUUAGAAGUUCCGUUAACGACUGAUAACGGCAUGUCUAUUUUGGCCUGGUCAACGAAUUUCUAUGUCUCAAACGUUAGUCAACGUUUAUUUCAUGUUUUAAAUGGCCACAUAUGAAGUUGACGUAUUGAUUGGCCACUUUUUGAAAGUUGGGAGAUAAAACGACAUUUUUCCCAAAUUAUAUUGGUCGAUUUUGUAGAUUAUUAGUAUCCGUGUAAAGUCUACGUCGCUGGUGGUCUUGCAAUUUAAGGUGCAGUGGUGGGUCAGAUUCCUUCUUCGUCAGCGGUGGUGUGGUGUCCUCUCCGACGAUCUUGCGGUGGCUCCAGUUGGGCGGUGGGUCGAUCUGGUGUUGUCAUCUCUGGUUAAGGACGCUGGAGGUUUCAUCGGAGUCGUACCGUGGCUCAGCCGUUCGAUUGGUCGCUGCAGCAACGGCGGAAGUCGGCGGAGAGGUGGUGGGUUUCGCUGAGUUGUUUAGGUGGUUCACGGUAGACCGGCAAUCUUGAUGGCUUCUGCGGGUUACAGAUCUAGAAUGCUUGCGUGAGCCUGCAGCCUUUAGAUCUGCCGUGGUGGUGUCCACCUGACCGAAUUGAAGGUUUUGUCUCUGAGAUCUGUUGGAUUUUCCGGUAUGGUUUGCGGGGAUAGUCUCCAGUGGGUCGGAUCGCUAGGCAUGGGAUCUGACUCCGUAGAGCCAUUUGUUGGCGAGUUGCGUUUCCCGGGAGGACUGUAGCGGGUUCGGUGGCUCGGUGGUGUGAAACCGACGGCAGAAAUCGGAUUCUUUCGUCAUUGGCAUCACUCCCUCGUCGCUGCCACAAAGCCGUCGUCCUUGUUUCCGCUGGGGUUGGUGCGUCUGAUUCGUUGCCUCCGGUCGACAGCAAGUUCCGAGCCGCAGCUCCGUUUUCAGGUCAUUUUCCGAUUUGUUUCUCUCUUUCGUAACUGUACCCACGAAUUGUAAGCCCAUUGGCCCAAACCCAUUAAGGGGUUUUAUGAAUAAAAAAAAAACUCUUCGUCUGGUUCCCUUUGUCAACCAUCAAAAGUUUCACCAAUGAACCUAAAACUAGCAGAAAGAAAAAAGCAAGCCUUGAAGUUGCUCAUUGUUCUACUUCUGCUAUAAUUUAAACAACUUUUAAUCACCUUAGGUAUAUUUAAACAAGAUAAAAAAAAGUAUAUAAUAUCUUCUACUAUAAUUUCUCAAAGAACAAUUCUUGGGGUGAACCUCUUUCAUUCACCCCUUCUUAAUUAACCAAUUAGAAUUUGUCAUGUCAUCCAAUAAACCAAAUUAAAAUAAUUAAUAUUUUAUAAACUCAAACCGACUUAUAAUUUUAUUUAAUUAUAAAAUCUAAAUCCUAACCACUCUUUUAUAAACCCAAACCGACAUAUAAUUCCAUUUAAUUGUAAAAUGUAAACCUUAACCACUCUUAUGUAAACCCAAACCGACAUAAUUUUGCUUAAUUGUAAAAUCUAAACCCUAAACCUCAUUUAUAAACCCAAAUCGAUAUAUAAUUUUGUUUAAUUAUAAAAUCUAAACCCUAAUUGAUAUUUUAUAAACCCAAACCGACAUACAAUUUAGUUUAAUUGUAAAAGCUAAACCCUAAUCCACAUUUGUAAACCCAAACCAACAUAUACUUUUGUUUAAUUAUAAAUUUAAACCCUA
rnacentral:lncRNA from 1 species